GUUUCACAAGACCGUGAGGGUUCGACUCCCUCUAUCCCCAA
rnacentral:tRNA from 1 species